rnacentral:rRNA from 1 species
AUUGAACGCUGGCGGCAUGCCUUACACAUGCAAGUCGAACGGUAACAGGGAGCUUGCUCCGCUGACGAGUGGCGAACGGGUGAGUAAUGUAUCGGAACGUACCAUUCAGUGGGGGAUAACGUAGCGAAAGUUACGCUAAUACCGCAUAUUCUGUGAGCAGGAAAGCAGGGGAUCGCAAGACCUUGCGCUGAUUGAGCGGCCGAUAUCAGAUUAGCUAGUUGGUGAGGUAAAGGCUCACCAAGGCGACGAUCUGUAGCGGGUCUGAGAGGAUGAUCCGCCACACUGGAACUGAGACACGGUCCAGACUCCUACGGGAGGCAGCAGUGGGGAAUUUUGGACAAUGGGGGCAACCCUGAUCCAGCCAUGCCGCGUGAGUGAAGAAGGCCUUCGGGUUGUAAAGCUCGUUUCGGUACCGGGAAAAAUACGCAUCAGUUAAUACCUGGUGUGGAGUGAUGGUACGAAGUAAGAAGACACCGGCUAACUACGUGCCGACG